GACGAAGGUGGCGAGCGUUACUCGGAAUUACUAGGCGUAAAGCGUGGGUAGGUGGUUCGGUAAGUCUGUUGUGAAAGCUCCUGGCUUAACUGGGAGAGGCCAAUGGAUACUGCUGGACUUGAAUCGUGGAGAGGUCACUGGAAUUCCUGGUGUAGCGGUGAAAUGCGUAGAGAUCAGGAGGAACACCAAUGGCGAAAGCAGGUGACUGGACACGUAUUGACACUGAGCCACGAAAGCUAGGGGAGCAAAC
rnacentral:rRNA from 1 species